rnacentral:rRNA from 1 species
ACUCCUACGGGAGGCAGCAGUGGGGAAUAUUGCACAAUGGGGGAAACCCUGAUGCAGCCAUGCCGCGUGUGUGAAGAAGGCCUUGGGUUGUAAAGCACUUUCAGUAGGGAGGAAGGUAGUGUAGUUAACACCUGCAUUAUUUGUACGUUACCUACAGAAGAAGCACCGGCUAACUCCGUGCCAGCAGCCGCGGUAAGUACGGAGGGUGCGAGCGUUAAUCGGAAUUACGUGGGCGUAAAGCGCAUGCAGGCGGCCUGUUAAGUCAGAUGUGAAAGCCCGGGGCUUAACCUCGGAAUUGCAUUUGAAACUGGCAGGCUAGAGUCUGUAGAGGGGUUAGAAUUUCAGGUGUAGCGGUGAAAUGCGUAGAGAUCUGAAGGAAUACCGAGUGGCG